AUGGGCUCUAAAAGACACCUUUCGAUUUCCUAACAAUCAGCUGACAUUGUCAAGGAAAGCGAGCUUCUUGGGGAUGAUUCCAAGAAUAUAGAGGAAAUGACAGUUCAACAGCUGAGAUCGAAAUUGAGGAAUAUGGGGAUUCCUGCCAAAGGUACUAAGCAGGAACUCGUCUCUGCCUCGAAGAGUUCUUUGGACAGCUAAAUAGAUGGUGAAGGUUCUUUGGAUGGAAGCAAUCAAGUGAUUACCAAAGAUGAGCCAAAUAUCACUAAAAACAAC